UACGUAGGAUGCAAGCGUUGUCCGGAUUUACUGGGCGUAAAGCGCGCGCAGGCGGCAUACCAAGUAUUCAGUGAAAUCUCCCUGCUCAACGGGGUGGGUGCUGAGUAGACUGGUAAGCUAGAGGACGGUAGAGGGGGGUAGAAUUGCUGGUGUAGCGGUGAAAUGCGUAGAGAUCAGCAGGAAUACCCGUGGCGAAGGCGGCCCCCUGGGCCGUUUCUGACGCUGAGGCGCGAAGGCUAGGGGAGCGAACGGG
rnacentral:rRNA from 1 species